rnacentral:RNase_P_RNA from 1 species
AAAGUCGAUCAGACAAUCGCUUUUUACUUCAGUAAAAAGAGGAAAGUCCGGGCUCCAUAGGGUAAAGUGCCAGGUAAUGCCUGGGAGGCGCGAGCCUACGGAAAGUGCCACAGAAAAUAUACCGCCUUGCCUGAAGCAUAGCGACAGUUGAGGUAAGGGUGAAAUGGUGCGGUAAGAGCGCACCGCGCGAUUGGCAACAGUCGUGGCAGGGUAAACCCCACUGGGAGCAAGACCAAAUAGGAAUCCAUCUUGCUGCAAAGCUGGAACGUAUGACCCGUACGGGAUUCGGGUAGGUCGCUCGAGGCUUAUGGUGACGUAAGCCCUAGAUGAAUGAUUGUCCAAGACAGAACCCGGCUUAUCGAUCGACUUUUUCU